rnacentral:rRNA from 1 species
GCCUUCAUGAAGCUGGAAUUGCUAGUAAUGGCAGGUCAGUAUACUGCCGUGAAUACGUUCCCGGGCCUUGUACACACCGCCCGUCACACCAUGAGAGUUGGAAAUACCCGAAGCCUGUGAGCUAACUUAAAGAGGCAGCAGUCGAAGGUAGAGCCAAUGAUUGGGGUGAAGUCGUAACAAGGUAUC